UACGUAGGGUGCAAGCGUUGUCCGGAAUUAUUGGGCGUAAAGAGCUCGUAGGCGGUUUGUCGCGUCGAAUGUGAAAACCCGGGGCUCAACCCCGGGCCUGCAUUCGAUACGGGCAGACUAGAGUUCGGUAGGGGAGUCUGGAAUUCCUGGUGUAGCGGUGAAAUGCGCAGAUAUCAGGAGGAACACCGGUGGCGAAGGCGGGACUCUGGGCCGACACUGACGCUGAGGCGCGAAAGCCAGGGGAGCGAACGGG
rnacentral:rRNA from 1 species